CAGAGCUGAAGUCAGACACUUAACUGACUGAGCCACCCAGGCACCCCAGAUAAUUUUUCAUCUUUGAUUCCUUAGAUCUUCUACCAAAUUGUGGCCAUCAAAAGACUGUAUAUUGGUGCCAAAUUUGGAAAGUGGUUCAAGAUCAUUUUUUAAAUGGUUCUGUUUUUCUACUGAAGAUGUCUCACUUGUCUUUGAACUUAUCUAAUGUGUUACCAGUCAUUUCCACAAUGUUCAUGUUCAGGAAAACUUUAGAUCUGUCUGUGCUUGGGUCACUUUUUUCAUGGCCUUUUGGAAUGAUGAAAAGGACCCUGAUGCAUGUUUUCACUUUACGAAUUUAUGUUGUUUGGAUUUUCAUGAACAGACUUGCACACUAUACAUUUUACUUUUGGUUCACAUGUGCGACAGAUUAUAAAAUAAAUAGCAAAAUAUUCCCUGAAAGUUGACAGGAAGCCACAUCUUCAUGAAAAAUUCAUCUUUGCUUGAAACCAGAAUUACAGAUUAUUUCCAGGGCCCCAUCCAGAUAAACUCUUAACACCCUCGUUUUACAGAAGAGGGCACAGGCUCAGAGGAGACAUUUGUUUCCACUAAUUUGUAAGUUGUGCCUUUCCCUCAGGACUCACUUUCCUUUUCUGAGAAGUGAGUGGAUCAGGGCAACUCACUUACCUUGGGGGCCAGUGGGCGAGAAGUGUGCUGACAAAUGCCCCUGAGCCUGGCAUCCUCCCUCCCCCAUUCACCAGCUCAGCUCAGCUCUGGCUACUUUCUGCCUUGGGCUUCUAGUAAGGUUUUUGUCUGUGAGGGAAGGUAGAGGCUGACGGGAGGAGGAGCUGAUGGCAACUGAAAACCCCUGCUUCAUACACUUGCCAAACCUCAGGGUGCCCGGGAUUGGUGCUCAGCCUGACUUGUUGAGUUCCUAAGUUCUCUUCUGUUUCUAAAUUUGCAUCGGUCUCCCAGAGCCAGGAUGAGGAUGCACUUCUUGAUUCCGGACUAGAGUCCCUAACGUGGAUCCGUUGCUCUAGUUACAUCAGGAAGUAGAGGGAUCCAAGUUGGGGGUGUCUCCUAGACUAAGAAGCCAUUGUCACCACCUCACUUUGGCCUUGAUUUUCAACAGUAAUAGAGCCACGUGCCCAGAACUCAUGCCACUACAGGAGGUGUUUUCUGUUCAUAGGGGUCUGAAUGCUUGUACAUGACGUCCUUAGCCUCUCUGAGUUUCCCCUUCCUUCUUUGUAGAAAUAAGGGUUAGCCUGGGUCCUCGGGCUGUGUGUAAGGCCCUCAGCCCAGUGCCUGUUCCCCAGGAAAUGUGCACAAAAUGGUAGAUAUUGGCAAUAUGCAUUGAAAUCCUCUAAAAAUGUGUUAUACCUUUGACUCAGCAAUGCUAUGAAUUGACAUUUAUCUAAGGAGGUAAUGCAAUGCAAAGGUAUCCAGGCAGCCCUAGAACAAAGUGUCUUCCAGUAGGGAAUUUUAGUGUUGUGGUAUAUUCAGUGGAAUGUCAUGUAGUCAUUUAAAGUGACAGAUAAUUAUAUUUGACAUAGACAACCAUAAAUGAAAAAACUCAUCCCCAAAAUUGUAUGUGAAGUGUAGUCUGCUUGUGUGUAUGUGUGUGUGUGUGUGUGUGUGUGUGUGUGUGUGUAUAUAUAUACACACACAUGCAUGUGUACACGUGUGCAGAGAAAAGGCUUGGAAGGAUAUAGACCACAUGUUUAGAAUGGUCAGGCUAGGCAGGACUGUAAGCGAUCGUGUUUCUAUUUUCUGGUUACUUUCAAUGGGUGUGCAUUCUCUUCUAUAAUUAUAUUAAAAUAAAUCAAGAAAAAACCUUCUCCCUAUCCCUAACCUCCUCUUUUCACUCUCUCAUUCUUUCUUAUCCCAAACGUGAAAGUCUCUGUGGCCUUUCCAUUUCAGAAGCCCCCCCCCCCACCUCCUCCAGGUUAUGUUGUUUCCAGUUUUCAAGUCCCCAGCCCCUAGUACCCUGACUCUCCAUCUUUGGUUUCUGGCCUGCCAGACACCUGUUAGGCACUUUAAUUCACUUCCCCUAUUAAAACUCAGAACACCCCCGUGGAUUAGUUCACUGUCUUCCAUUUUACUGAAUGAGAAACAGAGAUAUAAAGAAGCUAGCUUCCUCCCUUCCCUUUCCUUACCCCAACUCCUAUGGAUCCUUCAAAACCAGGUACCUGUGACAUCUCCUUCUGAUGGCACACCUGCCAGCAGUCAGCCGUGUUACCCUCGGCUCCCCGACACCUCUGUGACCACACUGCCUUGGUGAUAUGUGUGCAGGCCUGUCUUCCCCCUGCACACUGUGAGCUCCCUAAGAGCAGGGACUGUCUUAUUCUUUUCUGUACCCAUGCAUCCGGCAUAGUUCUUGGCACACAGUAGGGGUUCUGGAGACAUCAUUUGAAAAGCUGUAACUCUUUAAUAGAUGUGAGAUUUGCCAGAUAGAAACAGGAUGAGUGGGUGUGGGAUGGAAAAAUGCAAUGAGAAAAAAUAACUAAUAGUUGGGAUGUGGUCAGAUUCCCAUUAUGUAAGGAGGGCCCUAUAUGGGUGGGGUGAGCCAUCUUUUUAAUUAAUUUUUUUUUUUAUUUUUGUGAGAGGGACAUUAAAUAGCUGUGGUCUUCCUAAUGCACAAGUGAGGAAAACAGCAAGAAUAUCGAUGUGAAGUGUCAAAGUAAAACACUAAAUAAUCUAUGCUCACAACUCUGAGCUGGUACAGACAUGUCAAAGUCCUGUAAGAAUUUAGAAAAUUCACUCUGUUUUUAAACAUAUUAAACAAUAUGUUUUAAAGAACGCAUCAGUAAAAAACUAAUGUGCUGUUUGUGGCAAUAAAGAAUGCAGUGUCUCAGCAGAAGUAAUAGCAUAAUAAUUGCAUAUUCAGGUAUACUUUUUUUUAAGAUUUUAUUUUUAAGUAAUCUCUCCACCUAAUGUAGGGCUCUAGCUUACAUCAAGAGUGGCCCGCUCCACCGACUGAGCCAGCCAGGUGCCUCUCAUGUAGUACUUUAUAGUUAAACCAGUAUUUUUUAUGGGCUGAGUUUUCACAGAGACUUUUAACUUGUUCACACAUUUGUUCUUCUAUCACAAAGAAAUGGGGCAACUACAUGAAACCAAGACUUCUUGGAGAAGUGGCUGAUUCGAAGGGAAAGAACCUGAGUCUGUAAUAAGAAGUGCUCAGGGAAAAAAAAAAAAAAGAGGUUAGAGAAGGACAGAGCCAAAGCAUAAGAAACUUUUAAAAACUGAGAA